CAACUGAGAAUAAUGCCUCCACCGUCAGACUGGCCUGUAGGCAACUCUGUGAGGGCAUUUUCCUUGAUUAAUGGUUGCCGUGGAGAGGCCCCGCCCACUGUGGGUGGUGCCACCCUUGGGCAGGUGGCCCUGGGUUGUAAAAGAAAGCGGGCUGGGCAAACCAGUAAGAGGCAUUCCUCCAGGGCCUCUGCCUCAUUUCUGGAUUCCAGGUUCCUGCCUCGAGCCCCCGGCCCGACUUCUCUUUACGAUGGACUGUAAGUGAUGUGGCUGAAUAGCUUUGCCAAGAAUCCUAAUGAGAACCAGAUUGCACAGUUCAGCAUCCUUUGCAGCUGGAAAAGUUGGGACAUGGAGAGGUCGCUCCUGGAGGCCCCGGAGGAGCCUUUGCCAAAAGCCAGCUCUGCCGUCUCGAGAGUGAUGUCUGGGAGUCCCCUUCUUGGCCUAAGGAUUCCUGAAUGAGGAGGGCAAUCACAUGCUCCCUGUGGUACCAUGCAUGUUUCAGACCUGUGGCUUUGGGAGCAGUGCCCUGCUCUGCUGGGCUCGGUGUUUUAAAGUCAUUGCCAGAUCGGGUCCAUCCUGCUCUUCCAGAGGGACUGCCUAGCAGACCGUUAUUCACUCCAAGCUUUCUACUGCAACAUCUUUCUCUACAGGGACGUGUCUUCCUAGAGCCUGCCUCAGUCCUCACGGUACCCUGGGGUCCAAGCACAGAACCGAGGCCCUCAUGACCGCCCAAGACGUCCACCACGGGGUGGACAGAUGUUCUGUGCUGUGUAUGUGCUGGCUGCACACAGGUGGAAAGGGGUAAUAGGUUUAGCCAGUAUCUAGGAGGAAGGAGGAUCGGGGUAGGUUGUGUUUGUGCAAAGAGAAGCAGGUUUGCCCUAAGAGGGGUACAGCAGACAGGAGCGGUGAGCCCUGAGAACCAAAUAUCCUCGCCCAUAAAUCUUCCACCCUCAUCAACACACAAAAGCCCCGAGGACAGAUCUCCUUUCCUGCCAUUAAUCUAAGACUGACUGUAGCAUUUCCUUGCUUGUCUAAAGGGGACAAUAGAACGUCCCUCUGACCCCAAGCAGCCUAGGAGAGAUAAAUGGGAGGGGAGGUGCGGGCACACAGGUGGCUUUUCACCUGAUGACAGAACCAGCUCCUGCCAAGAACCGUGCCAGGGAGCUGCCCACCACCCUUAGAAAGACCCAGUCAGCUGUUCAAAGGUCAGUGAGGGCACCAUCUCUGACAACCACUCUGGCGGGCAGGCUCACGUGAGCCAUCGUGGCUAAAGCUCACUUGCCCAGGAUGCUUGGAUGGCCAGAUGUCAGGAACACAGCUGUCCAAAGAGGCGCAAGCUAUAGCAGGUUCAAGCUGUACACGCCUCCCUUCUGCGCCCAUGACCUUGAUUAGGAAGGUCAUAAGGUCAGGAAAAGAGACCUUCAUGACCUUCUUUUCUUCUACAGAUAAUAUGCAUGACCAAGGAAAAGUUAACAUAAAUAACUAAGCUUUACAGCUUUCUUUUACCAAAUGAGAAAACCACACACAGACACACAGACAGACACACCACACACACACACACACACACACACACACACACCCCUCUGGAGGCCAAUUUGAACAUAUAAACUUUAAAUAAUAUAGAUG